ACGACGCUGGCGGCGUGCCUAAUACAUGCAAGUCGAGCGCAGGAAGCAGACUGAAGUCCUUCGGGAGGACGUCUAGUGGAAUGAGCGGCGGAUGGGUGAGUAUCACGUGGGUAACCUGCCUGUAAGCUCGGGAUAACUCCGGGAAACCGGAGCGUAAUACCGAAUAAGGUUUCGUUCGCAUGAACGAAAAAUGAAAGGCGGCUUAUGCUGUCACUUACAGAUGGACCCGCGGCGCAUUAGCUAGUUGGUGAGAUAAUGGCUCACCAAAGCCACGAUGCGUAGCCGACCUGAGAGGGUGAUCGGCCACACUGGGACUGAGACACGGCCCAGACUCCUACGGGAGGCAGCAGUAGGGAAUCUUCCGCAAGUGGACGCAAGUCUGACGGAGCAACGCCGCGUGAGUGAUGAAGGUCUUCGGAUCGUAAAACUCUGUUAUUAGGGAAGAACAAGUAUCAACCGGAUAAGUUGGUACCUUGACGGUACUUAAUCAGAAACGCCCCGGCUAACUACGUGCCAGCAGCAGC
rnacentral:rRNA from 1 species